rnacentral:rRNA from 1 species
CCUACGGGAGGCAGCAGUGGGGAAUUUUGGACAAUGGGCGCAAGCCUGAUCCAGCAAUGCCGCGUGAGUGAAGAAGGCCUUCGGGUUGUAAAGCUCUUUUUGUCAGGGAAGAAACGGUCUACUCUAAUACAGUGGGCUAAUGACGGUACCUGAAGAAUAAGCACCGGCUAACUACGUGCCAGCAGCCGCGGUAAUACGUAGGGUGCAAGCGUUAAUCGGAAUUACUGGGCGUAAAGCGUGCGCAGGCGGUUAUAUAAGUCAGAUGUGAAAUCCCCGGGCUCAACCUGGGAACUGCAUUUGAGACUGUAUGGCUAGAGUGUGUCAGAGGGGGGGUAGAAUUCCACGUGUAGCAGUGAAAUGCGUAGAUAUGUGGAGGAAUACCGAUGGCGAAGGCAGCCCCCCUGGGGAUAACACUGACGCUCAUGCACGAAAGCGUGGGGGAGCAAACAGGAUUAGAUACCCUGGUAGUCCACGCCCUAAACGAUGUCUACUAGUUGUCGGGACUUAAUUGUCUUGUACGCAGCUAACGCGUGAAGUAGACCGCCUGGGGGNGGUACGGUCGCGAGAAGUUAAAACGUUAAAAGUAAAGUUAGUACGGCGUGAGCGUGCCGACGGACGACGACGAGGGGAGGGUUAGGG